GGGUCAGUAGGUUGGUCGUGCCACCGGUACGUACUGGUCUCACUGAUUCCUCCUUCCUGAAGAACCGUAAUGCCAUUAAUUUGGUGUUGCGGGGAAACAGGACUGUUACUUUGGAAAAAUUAGAGUGUUUAAAGCAAGCUAACGCUUGAAUACAUUAGCAUGGAAUAAUGAAAUAGGACGAUCGAUCCUAUUUUGUUGGUUUCUAGGAUUGACGUA
rnacentral:rRNA from 1 species